rnacentral:rRNA from 1 species
UACGGGGGGGGCAAGCGUUGUUCGGAAUUACUGGGCGUAAAGGGUGCGUAGGCGGUUCGCUAAGUUGGAUGUGAAAACUCUGGGCUCAACCCAGAGCCUGCAUCCAAUACUGACAAGCUAGAGUUCUGGAGGGGAUAGCGGAAUUCCUGGUGUAGCGGUGAAAUGCGUAGAUAUCAGGAGGAACACCGGUGGCGAAGGCGGCUAUCUGGACAGAGUCUGACGCUGAGGCACGAAAGCUAGGGGAGCAAACAGG